rnacentral:misc_RNA from 1 species
AGCUACUCUCCACAGGAAGAGUCUGCGGGAACGCUCACAUUUUUUGGCUCGUAUCUCGUAAUUUGAGUAAUGUGACAAUGGUUCGUUACAGCUGAAUGUACGCGAAAUCGUGUGACAUUAAUACUAUAUCAAAAUGUUGACCAUAUGAGGCAGAUGAACUGUCCCAAAAGGGAGUGAACUCGUAAUUUUAGUAAACUGUUUGUGGACGAUUUGUUGCUUUUCUGUAUUACGCCAAAUUGCAAGCAUUAUUUAAACUGUUGAAGACGUGCCAGACUAGCGGGAAUUAUCGAGCAGGCCAGGAUGACACAAAACCAGCAGAAUAUCACAACACUGCUGAUCCCAGACCCAAAUGGUGGUCAGCCACAGAUGAUAAAGGGUGACCAUCUUCCCAUUCAGCUAACUGAAGUUAGUGCUGGUUGCUCUGGGGGCAAUGUAAAGGCCACCUUUGGCAAGACCUCUGGUAAACAGAAGAAGAAGAAGAAGAAUGUACCAAUCAAAGGAAAACAAAAGGACUGCAUGGUUAAGAAAAGAAAGGAACAAAUUGAUGAAGGAGGUGGUGACACCCAGCAACCAACACCAUCAUAUUCACAGCUACCAUCUCAUGCAUCAAACCCCAUUUUGGCUUCUACUUCCCGUUCCCUUUUCACUCCACCUGAACUUAUUUCACGCUAUUCUCUUCGCCAACAUACUCCAUCAUCAUCUUCUCACAGCUCUUCAUCACUAAAUACUACUCACUCCCUUGACAGUUCUUCACUAACUACUUCUCACUCUUCAUCUAAUCUCAGUACAUCUACUAGUUAUAACCCAACCACAUCUUCAGCGAAUUCAACAACCCCUCCAGAAGAAACAUUUCCUGGGGGCACUCCCCCCAGAAGAAAAAAAAAACCAAGAUUUCGAAAUUUCAGACACCAGAAUGCUCCAAAGGAAAAGAAACUCCCGAAUAAGCAGAAAUUCAAGAAGCAAUAUCAAAAUGUUUAAAUAAGAUAAAUAGCGUGUGAAAUUGGAGCCACUGUGAUGAAAUGUUCGACUUGCCGCCACCACCACGGGAAUAGAAAUUGUGAUUACUGUAACUGAAAUGUUUCCAGAGUUAUGGCUCUCCAAAUGUUGAUCUAUGCUCCUAGUCAAGGUUUUCAAACAAAGUUAGGUCCAUUUAGGUUAGGCAAAAUUGCAGACAAAAGCUCACACACAAAUGCACAAACACACACCACAAUAGCUGUUAUAUUCGGUUACUUAAAUAUAAUUUGGUCAUUAUCUAGGUACAUGACUGUGCUCCUUCACUACUUCCUGUUAACUUUUCACUUGAAUUGGCUGUACAGUAUUACUUGCUCUUUCAAUACUGUGUUUCUCAGAUGCUAGAGGUGAUGUGCUUGAUAACGGAAUUCACUUGAUUUAAUUUGAAGCUUACAAAGUGACGUUCCUAGUUCAUUAUUCCUGUAAAUGUGUUCAGUAAGGGUACAAAAUGUUGACUUAGAGUUUAAGAGUGUUUUGUGAGAAAAUAUAUAGGAAUGAGUGAGUUUUCAUAAAAAAUAUAUAGGGUGAGUGAGUUUUAUAUGAAUAUAUAUGUAAAUAUAUGAGUGAGUUUUCAUAUACAAUGCUGAAAUAAAAUUGAUUAUGUAUGUCAUGUGGCAUUGACAGUGGAUAAUGAUGUACAGUAUUCUUUCAAUGCUUAAAGGUGCCUUAAUGAUAAAUACAGAUCUUUGUAAUUAAAAUGUUCAUGGAACAAAACCUGAAAAAUUUGUUGCAAGGAGAAAGACAUUUUUUUAAAACCUGCUGACUGUUUUAUAGAAUGAAUAUUUUUUGUUCUCGAUUUUUAGUUAUGCAGUAUGUUAUCUUUAAUGCCAAAAACAGUUUGCAAAUGAUAAUUAGCAAGUGUUUAGUUGUUUACUAUACUGUUACAGUGUCAUUGUCACGUCGCCCAGGUGGCUUCCAGCAUUUUCUCCGACUUUGAUGCAGUUUGUUACUUGUUUAUCUCAGUGAGAGAAUUUGAGUCUUUGUUUCCCGUCUGCAGCUAAAACAUUUCCCCUGAUACACGACCUUGAAUUUUGCAGAAAGUUAAUUUUCCAUCAUCGUGCCUUAAUUCAAGAGGACCCGGAGAUUUUGCCAACUUCCUUCGGCAGUUUUUACAUAUUUUAUGGUUUGUCAGGAGUUUGUAAUGGAUUUCAAUACAGUACUGUAUAUCAGAUCUUUAGGUAAGGAAUACAAAUUUUUAAAAAGAGGACCUUGUUUUUUCCAAAAGCGUCACAGUAAUAGUGACCAAGGUGAAGGAUAUUAAAGUUCUGGAAUAAUUUGACCUACAAAUAACAAACAUAUAUAUACUGUAUUGGAAUACGCUAGAGAUUGUGUUUAUUUAUAUGGUCAAAAAUUUAAAGAGAAAUGGAAAAAAAUUUGUCAUUACUGUAACUGAAAUGCAGAGUUAUGGCUCUCCAAAUGUUGAUCUAUGCUCCUGGUCAAGGUUUUCAAACAAAGUUAGGUCCAUUUAAAUGAGUGCAUAUCCUUUUUUACUGGAUUGCCACAGAAAAUUUGUUAAAUACUACUACCAUAUCUAUACUAAUUAAUAGUUUGAAAAAAUUCAGGCUGACAUUAAAUGACAUUUCCAAGAACAAAGGUUGAAUUAAAAGUCAACUUUUGUAUUUGUUCCCUGAUUGUAAAUUAAGCAUACCUUGUGUUGAAGGAAUGCAAGGUAUGUCGUAAAAUAAAAGUUUGAAAGCCACUCGAUAGAUUUUAAAUGGAAUUUGAAUGAACUCUGUGUACCAUAGGAACCGAGAUUACAAUUUACCCUUUUGGCAAAAUUCAAAGUUGGCCCCCAUCUCUAGAACCAUUUUGGCUACAGAUGUAAGCAGUCAUUAAAUUUCUCUUGGAGAUCUAAAAGUGUACUAAAUUGCAUGAAAAUCGAAGAGGGUAUAAAAAAUUUGCCAAAAAUCUGGUUGAAGUGACACUGAAUAUCUCUGUGCAGUAAAUUUCAUAUAUUCUUUAUAGAUGUUCAAGGAUAAUACAUACAAAUAUUGUGAAGACAGGUGAGCAGAAGGUACACAUACUGGGAAGCAAUCCUGUCCAAGUAUGAGCAACUUUUCAUUACUGUGCUGUUAGUCUUUAAAUAAAUGGUUUAUUUUUCUACUAUAGUAUGCAAAUAUUGUAGAAUAAGAAUUAAAAGGAAGAUUCUUUUAA